UUUCUGAACAAUAGAAAAGCUGGUAGUUUGUUUGUAUCCCUCUUUUAAAUAUGUGUUUCGACGUGUGGUUUAAUAACAUAAGUUAGCCUGUGCUCUUGACGACAUGCUACCAAAGAAGAAGGGAGUUGGCAAAAUACUUCCGAAUUUUGUCAUAACAGCUUUAGGACCCCCAGCUAAAUGUAGAAAAUGAAAAGCAAACACCUUAAUUCAAUAGUUGGUUAAGUCGACUGCGAAUGUUAACUGGAAUGAAGACAUGAAAACAAAUUAAGAGAAGAAUUGUACCAUAAUAUUUAUACAGGACGCAGAGGAACACAUCAGAUGUUGUGAAGGAGUUAGUUUUUGGUAUGUGAAUUAUGCAAAUUAUUUUCUGGCCUGCCGUUAAAAUGGUUGCAUUACAAUGGACAGAAAUACCACUCUGGCCUAAUCUAUCCCUUUACGAUACAUCACAAAGAUUGACUGGCGAAAUUUUCAAAAAAAUUUGUUUCAGAAACCUGGACUUAUCCAAA